ensembl:lncRNA
AAAAGCUUCUCCUAAAUACCCGAACUAUAACUAUAAUCCACCACCUCAGCGCUACAGCACUGCAACCGGGAUGGUCCUGUGCGCAUCAGUAGAGCGCAUGCGCAAGCAGUAAAACAGCUACGGUGCGAGGUGACAGCUGCACUGAUGAUAUCGAUGAACGUCUCCAGCGGUAACAACAUUCCGCAUAGCACCCAAGGCAAGAAGCACAAAAAGAAAACCAAGAAGCAUCGCAAAGGAUCUGGUGAGAACAUUCCCCCACUCGAUCUUGGGCCCCCACUGCCCACUGCAGAUGAACUCUGUCACAUCCUAACGAUCCACACGCCCUCCACCCCCCCACAAUAUCCUCCCACCCC